rnacentral:tRNA from 1 species
GUCGGGCUGGCCGAGCGGCCAGGCAACGGUCUGCAAAACCGUGCAGACGGGUUCGACUCCCGUGCCCGCUU